rnacentral:misc_RNA from 1 species
GAUGAAGAACGUAGCGAAAUGCGAUACGUAAUGUGAAUUGCAGAAUUCAGUGAAUCAUCGAAUCUUUGAACGCAUAUUGCGCUCUCUGGUAUUCCGGAGAGCAUGCUUGUUUGAGUAUCAGUAAACACCUCAACUCCCUUUUCUUUUUUGAAAUUGGAGCUGGACUUGAGUGAUCCCAACGCUUUCUUCCAAGAAAGUGGCGGGUUGCUUGAAAUACAGGUGCAGCUGAACUUUUCUCUGAGCUAUAAGCAUAUCUAUUUAGUCUGCCUAAAAAACAGAUUAUUACCUUUGCUGCAGCUAACAUAAAGGAGACUAGUUCUUGUGCUGACUGAUGCAGGAUUCACAGAGACAGCUUCGGCUGACUUUGUAAACUCGAUCUCAAAUCAAGUAAGACUACCCGCUGAACUUAAGCAUAUCAAUAAGCGGAGGA